GUGCUCAUUUUGGCAGCACAUAUGCUAAAAUUGGAACAAUACACACGUUAGCAUGACCCCUGCACAAGGACGACAUGUAAAUUAGUGAAGUGUUCCAUAUUUUU